CUUGCGUUAAUUUUUGUUUUUGUCUAAUAAGUGGAUGUGAAUACUUUGAAACAAGUAAGAAAACUAAGUCUUCUUUUGAAGUCCACAGUUCAUUGUUCAAUAUGAGCACUAAUAUAGAUAAGAAGGAACAUU